rnacentral:rRNA from 1 species
AAUGAACGCUGGCGGCAGGCUUAACACAUGCAAGUCGAGCGAGCGGCGGACGGGUGUGUAAUGUGUGGGACAUUGCCUGAUGGAGGGGGAUAACUACGGGAAACGGUAGUUAUAACCGCUUACCAUCAGAUGUUACCAGGUGGGAUUAGCUAGUGGGUGGGGUAAUGGCUCACCGAGGCGACGAUCCCUAGUUGAUCUGAGAGGAUGACCAGCCACACUGGAACUGAGACACGGUCCAGACUCCUACGGGAGGCAGCAGUGGGGAAUCUUUCGCAAUGGGCGCAAGCCUGAUGCAGCCAUGCCGCGUGUGUGAAGAAGGCCUUCGGGUUGUAAAGCUCUUUCAGCAGGGAAGCGGUACUCGCUGAAGAAGCCCCGGCUAACUCCGUGCCAGCAGCCGCGGUAAUAC